rnacentral:rRNA from 1 species
CCUACGGGCGGCUGCAGUAGGGAAUCUUCCACAAUGGGCGAGAGCCUGAUCGAGCAACGCCGCGUGGGUGAAGAAGGUCUUCGGAUUGUAAAACCCCUUUUGUAGAGAAGAAAAUGCGUGAGAGUAACUGUUCACGUUUCGACGGUAUCUAACCAGAAAGCCACGGCUAACUACGUGCCAGCAGCCUCGGUAAGACGUAGGGGGCAAGCUUUAGCCGGAUUUGUUGGGCGUAAAGGGAAAGCGGGCGGGCUUUUAAGUCGAAUGUGAAAACCUUCGGCGUAAACGGUGUACUGCAUUUGAAACUGUGAGACUUGAGUGCAGAAGAGGGAGGUGGAACUCGAGGUGUAGCGGUGAAAUGCGUAGAUAUAUGGAAGAACACCGGUGGCGAAGGCAGCUCUCUGGUCUGUAACUGACGCUGAGGUUCGAAAGCGUGGGUAGCAAACAGGAUUAGAUACCCUUGUAGUC